UACGAAGGUGGCAAGCGUUACUCGGAAUUACUAGGCGUAAAGCGCAGGUAGGUGGUUAGGUAAGUCUGUAAUGAAAUCUCCCGGCUUAACUGGGAGGGGUUUAUAGAUACUGCUUGACUUGAGUGUGGGAGAGGUAACUGGAAUUCCAGGUGUAGCGGUGAAAUGCGUAGAUAUCUGGAGGAACACCAAUGGCGAAAGCAGGUUACUGGCCCAAUACUGACACUGAGCUGCGAAAGCUAGGGGAGCAAACAGG
rnacentral:rRNA from 1 species